rnacentral:rRNA from 1 species
UACGUAGGGGGCGAGCGUUGUCCGGAAUUAUUGGGCGUAAAGGGCUCGUAGGCGGUUUGUCGCGUCGGGAGUGAAAACGCCGGGCUUAACCCGGUGCUUGCUUUCGAUACGGGCAGACUGGAGGUAUGCAGGGGAGAACGGAAUUCCUGGUGUAGCGGUGAAAUGCGCAGAUAUCAGGAAGAACACCCGUGGCGAAGGCGGCUCUCUGGGACGGUACUGACGCUGAGACGCGAAAGCGUGGGGAGCAAACAGG